GAUGUAGAACGUAGUGAAAUGCGAUAAGUAAUGCGAAUUGCAGAAUCCGUGAGUCAUCGAAUCUUUGAACGCACAUUGCGCCCUCUGGUAUUCCGGAGGGCAUGCCUGUUCGAGCGUCAUUAUCACCCCUCAAGCCCGGCUUGUUGUUGGAUGCAGCGCUUAUCCCGCUCCUCCCAAAGAUAAUGACGGCGUCUGCGACGACUCCUGUACACUGAGCUUUCGGGCACGUACACGGCUAGAAGUCCAGACCCGGUCGCCGUCCCCCCCGCGGGGACACCCAUUACCACAAGGUUGACCUCGGAUCAGGUAGGAAUACCCGCUGAACUUAAGCAUAUCAAUAAGCGGAGGA
rnacentral:misc_RNA from 1 species